rnacentral:tRNA from 1 species
GCCGUCGUAGCUCAUUUGGUAACACAACGCCCUAAAUAAGGGCAGGGCGAGGGUUCAAGCCCUUCACGCGGCACCA